UAAAACUGGGAGUGGAAUUCCCUGAUGGGGUGUGUGCUUAGCAAGACCUGGGAGCCUCCCCAAAGAACAAAAGCGUUGAGGACUUCUCACAGCUAAGUGGUCCAACCUCCCAGCACCCAGACUCUACAGUCUUCGCAGAGGAAGCCUGAACUUCCUGCAUGUAGAUUCUCCUUUCUCGACCGACCAUGACUGGCCUCUCUGAUGCUCUGGGUAGAUCUGUGCCUCUCUGUUUAGUCAUCAUCUCUGUGGCGUUGACUUCCCGCUCCCGGUUGUGCCUUCCUCUCUAUUUAUCCUGUUCACUUCACUGCUGUCGGACAGAGCCCAGCUUGUAUGCAGUAAUUCCCCAACAAGAGUGAUAGGAAUACUGGGUACAUGAAAAUGCAUGUCACUUCUGAAUUUCCUACAGUAUUCUCUCCAAUUAGUCAGGGCCAGCCAUAGAGUUGAUAAAACAUCAAACUACCUUUCAAGAGCUUUGUCUUUUUUCUUUUUUUUCCUUUCUUUUUUGGUUUGUUUUUUUAGCACACAGCUGGGAACAGCCUUGAGGUCAUGUUGGAGAAAGAUUUUUCUAAGUUGCAAAAGUUUGUCUUCACUCUCAUACCGGAGUCCAGUUGUGCGGAGUACAGGUAGCACACCGUAUCCUUUCAUGAAGAACUCACACGGGGAACUGUUCCCGGCAGCUCGGGAGGAUAGAGGGAACAAAAGAAUACUGAAGUAACCCAGGUAAGUCGGUAGGUGGCAACUACCUCCCCACCACCAACUAUAGAAACAAAGGAACGCGUUCUUGCUCCUUGAACGUGGAGCUCAACAAAGGGCUCCUGCCGAGCUCCGAGGAGGCUUGCAGCGGCCAAAGCAGCUGGCACCUCAGCGAGCACCAGGAGGCUGGGUCUGGAGCGCUGAAGGGGACUGAGAGGCUGCCCCUAGCGCUGCGGAAAGCACCGCCUCCCGUCGGGAGGACUCUUCGUGUAGAACAACAAGCAGACAGGAAGCCCCGGCUUCCUCCUCCAGUCUCCAGCCUACCCCUGAGCUCCCCACUGCAAACUCUAAUAGGAAGCCUGCUGACAAAAAAGAAACUAGUUUGCGGAGCCCCAGCCCGAGCCUGGCAGGACCUGAAGAGGAGAAGAGCUGGAAUCUUUUUCGAGACAGUCACGCACUCACCAACACCCUAGGGGCUGGCUGACUUCGAGGGCAGGAUUUUACUGCCAGCUAGAGUCGCCACCAGAAAGAGGGAAGAGCUGGUGUAAGGCCUGCUGCUGACUGCUGACGGAAGUGGAACACCCUGCACUACAAUGGCGUCUUAGACAUGAAUGCAGAGGAUGAUGUCCCAUGCAGAACAGAGCUCAGAGAAGGAGGUACCAAGCUUGGCAGAGGACACGGAUCUCAUGAGACCAAAACCAGCCUCGUCAAUUAGACUGGACUGGCUGCAGUGAGCCCCAGGGACCCUCCUCCUCUUCUUCCCCAGUGUUAAGAUUACAAGUGCUUAUCACCCCAGCAUUUUUAAAGAUUUUAUUUAUUUUUAUUGU